AUGUUUUGAGGAUUAUAAUGAGUUAGAACAAGGGUUAGAAUGUUUUUAUAUACGUGGGUGCUAUAAUAUGUCAUAUUUAAAUGUUGGUGGGCCUAAAAUUUUAAACAAAACAUGGGCCUAAAAAAUGACCUGGAUAUGGCACCAACCAGUGCCCUGUACCCGCGGAUGGGUCCUGGGCGCAGGUAGCACUUGCGGCCCGCAGGUGCCAGGCCAAAAUCUUUGGCCCACUUUUCUGCCACUCAGACUU
rnacentral:lncRNA from 1 species